AUCAAUUACUGUUGAAGGAAGUAUAUACAUACUAGUAUACAGCAGGCGCAAGCCUGCCAAUUCAUCUAUAUUCCACCCUUUCCAUAGUUACACAAGCUUGAUGUAAACUCUCAUCACGUUUAAUUGAUAAAAAUGAAAAAAGAAAAGAAAAUGAAAGAAAAUACAAUAGAAUAAAAUAAAAUAAAAAAUGAAGAAUAUGAAACCGACAUCAAUGUUGCUCUUCUUUUGGCAACCCGACCACCGCCGCGCCGUGAGCAUACGCCUUAUUCCUCUCAUUGACCCUGUCAAUAAACCCCCUGAUAUGCUCCGGUACCUCUUUAACCUCAUUCCCCGGCGCGG
rnacentral:sRNA from 1 species